UACGGAGGGAGCUAGCGUUAUUCGGAAUUACUGGGCGUAAAGCGCACGUAGGCGGCUUUGUAAGUUAGAGGUGAAAGCCUGGAGCUCAACUCCAGAAUUGCCUUUAAGACUGCAUCGCUUGAAUCCAGGAGAGGUGAGUGGAAUUCCGAGUGUAGAGGUGAAAUUCGUAGAUAUUCGGAAGAACACCAGUGGCGAAGGCGGCUCACUGGCCCGGUACUGACGCUGACGGCACGGAAAGCGUGGGGAGCAAACAGG
rnacentral:rRNA from 1 species